rnacentral:rRNA from 1 species
GCCAGACUCCUACGGGAGGCAGCAGUGGGGGAUAUUGCACAAUGGGGGGAACCCUGAUGCAGCGACGCCGCGUGGGUGAAGGAGUAUUUCGGUAUGUAAAGCCCUAUCGGCAGGGAAGAAGCAAGACGGUACCUGACUAAGAAGCCCCGGCUAACUACGUGCCAGCAGCCGCGGUAAUACGUAGGGGGCGAGCGUUAUCCGGAUUCACUGGGUGUAAAGGGAGCGUAGACGGCGAUGCAAGCCAGAUGUGAAAGCCCGGGGCUCAACCCCGGGACUGCAUUUGGAACUGUGUGGCUGGAGUGUCGGAGAGGCAGGCGGAAUUCCUAGUGUAGCGGUGAAAUGCGUAGAUAUUAGGAGGAACACCAGUGGCGAAGGCGGCCUGCUGGACGAUGACUGACGUUGAGGCUCGAAAGCGUGGGGAGCAAACAGGAUUAGAUACCCCUGUA